rnacentral:snRNA from 1 species
AGCUUUGCGCAGUGGCAGUAUCGUAGCCAAUGAGGUUUAUCCAAGGCGCGAUUACUGCUAAUUGAAAACUUAAAUUUAAUCUAACUGCAGUUUCCUUCUGAUUUCAUGAAAU